AAACUGUGUUGGUCUUUUAGCUCUUUUGUAAUUAAAUCUGGAUGUACCUCAAAAGAAUCUUAAGACUGGUGAUAAAAUGCUUUCCUC
ensembl:misc_RNA